rnacentral:rRNA from 1 species
GCAAGUCGCACGAGAUCCCAAUUUAUUGGGUGACAGUGGCGAAAGGGUGAGUAAUGCAUAGACAACCUUCCUUCGACUUUGGGAUAACUGAGGGAAACUUCAGCUAAUACCGAAUAGGUUCGCGAUCGCUUAUGCUUUUGCGAGUAAAGAUAGCCUCUUGGCAAUGCUUUCGGUUGAAGACGGGUCUAUGUCCUAUCAGCUUGAUGGUGAGGUAACGGCUCACCAUGGCAAUAACGGGUAGCCGACCUGAGAGGGUGACC